GUAGGUGAACCUGCGGAAGGAUCAUUACAGAGUUCAUGCCCUCACGGGUAGAUCUCCCACCCUUGAAUAUUAUACCUUCGUUGCUUUGGCAGGCCGUGGAAACACCAUGGGCUCCGGCUGAUGCGUGCCUGCCAGAGGAAACAAACUCUGUUUUUAGUGAUGUCUGAGUACUAUAUAAUAGUUAAAACUUUCAACAACGGAUCUCUUGGUUCUG
rnacentral:misc_RNA from 1 species